rnacentral:lncRNA from 1 species
UUUAGGCUGGGUAAUUGGUCAAGCAGUUUGCAGCAUGUUUGGCCAUUUUGAGGUCCUAAGUUGAUGAUACCAUAACUUUUGAUUCCCUCGUGCAUUUUGAGAAAAACUUGGGCCAAAUUAUUUUUGACAUAAGCUUAACAAUAUUCAAAAAGAAUGGGAUCAAAAGAGUUCUUGAGCUGAAACUGGCAAAGGUGAAAAGUAGGGGUCAUGACAAGGAUUUGACCCAUUUUGGCAACUUGGUCUU